rnacentral:rRNA from 1 species
GAUGAACGCUGGCGGCGUGCUUAACACAUGCAAGUCGAACGGAAAGGCUCCUGCUUGCAGGGGUACUCGAGUGGCGAACGGGUGAGUAACACGUGGGUGAUCUGCCCUGCACUUCGGGAUAAGCCUGGGAAACUGGGUCUAAUACCGGAUAGGACCACAUUUUGGAUGGUGUGGUGGAAAGUUUUUCGGUGUGGGAUGAGCUCGCGGCCUAUCAGCUUGUUGGUGGGGUAAUGGCCUACCAAGGCGUCGACGGGUAGCCGGCCUGAGAGGGUGUACGGCCACAGUGGGACUGAGAUACGGCCCAGACUACUACGGGAGGCAGCAGUGGGGAAUAUUGCACAAUGGGCGCAAGCCUGAUGCAGCGACGCCGCGUGGGGGAUGACGGCCUUCGGGUUGUAAACUCCUUUCGCUAGGGACGAAGCGCAAGUGACGGUACCUGGAGAAGAAGCACCGGCUAACUACGUG